GAUGAACGCUAGCGGCAGGCUUAAUACAUGCAAGUCGAGGGGCAGCACAGGGUAGCAAUACCUGGGUGGCGACCGGCAAACGGGUGCGGAACACGUACAGAACCUUCCUUUAAGCGGGGAAUAGCCCAGAGAAAUUUGGAUUAAUACCCCAUAGUAUUGUUUGGUGGCAUCACGGGGCGAUUAAAGAUUUAUCACUUAAAGAUGGCUGUGCGGCUGAUUAGGUAGUUGGCGGGGUAACGGCCCACCAAGUCUGCGAUCAGUAACUGGUGUGAGAGCACGACAAGUCAAACGGGCACUGAGACACGGGCCCGACUCCUACGGGAGGCAGCAGUAAGGAAGAUUGGGCAAUGGACGCAAGUCUGACCCAGCCAUGCCGCGUGGAGGAUGAAGGUCCUCUGGAUUGUAAACUUCUUUUAUCUGGGAAGAAACCCAACUUUUCUAAGGUGGUUGACGGUACCAGAUGAAUAAGCACCGGCUAACUCCGUGCCAGCCGCCGCUGUAAUAC
rnacentral:rRNA from 1 species